rnacentral:lncRNA from 1 species
UUAAUGUUUAUUUUUAAAUAUAGUUUUUAUAUUUCAAAUAUUCAAAUUCCACUGCAAUCAAUGAUACAAAAACAUGAAGAAAAAAACUUCAGUUUGAUGUCUCAUCACGACAUUUCAAUACCUGCUGUAGAUUGCCUGUGGCUUCCACUUUUAAUUUAAACAAAUAAUAAUUUUUCCAUGCAAUUUGGGUGAAGUGGAGGACAAAAUCUCCUGCAUUGCUUUCCUGGGCAAGCCAUCAUACUUAAAACAACUGAAACCCAAAUCAAAAUACGUUUACUCUACAUUCUAAUUAUAUCAGUUCUUCCCUCAUCUAGCAUAAAACAAAUCCACUUUCUUCUGGUUGAAUAUCUUGAGCUCAAAUAGAUGGAACCUGGGAGCUAAAAGAAGUAUGACAUAAAUAAUGAGGUCUCUUUUUUGCAUAAGGCAAAUUGCAAUUUUUGUAUUUGAUUUUUCUGCCUGUGAAGAUGUACAUUUAUCUUCCUACAAUGGUAUUAUGAUUGAUGGUGACUUGUGUGAUUACAGGAGGCUUUAAAUGCAGCUACAUGUGUUUGAGUCCUUUCCUUGGUAAAAUACUAUAAUUUGUACUCUAAUAGGAGACUCAGAAUGUUGCUAUUUUUUAAGAGAGAGUGAGAGACAGAGAGAGUGAGAGAGAAUUAUUUGAUAUUUUAUUUUUUAGUUUUCGGUGGGCACAACAUCCUCAUUUGUGUGUGGUGCUUAGGAUUGAACCCGGCUGCACGCAUGCCAGGUGAGCGCGCUACUGCUUGAGCCACAUCCCCAGCCCCAAACCUAUUUUUUUUAUCUGCCUCUUUA